rnacentral:rRNA from 1 species
AACGAACGCUGGCGGCAGGCUUAACACAUGCAAGUCGAACGCUCGUAGCAAUACGGGAGUGGCGGACGGGUGAGUAACGCGUGGGAACGUGCCCUGAGGUACGGAAUAACUGCGGGAAACUGCAGCUAAUACCGUAUGAGCCCCUAACGGGGGAAAGAUUUAUCGCCUUGGGAGCGGCCCGCGUCGGAUUAGCUAGUUGGUGGGGUAACGCCUACCAAGGCUUCGAUCCGUAGCUGGUCUGAGAGGACGAUCAGCCACACUGGGACUGAGACACGGCCCAGACUCCUACGGGAGGCAGCAGUGGGGAAUCUUGCGCAAUGGGGGCAACCCUGACGCAGCCAUGCCGCGUGAAUGAUGAAGGCCUUAGGGUUGUAAAGUUCUUUUGCCCGUGACGAUGAUGACGGUAACGGGAGAAUAAGCUCCGGCUAACUUCGUG